GAUGAACGCUGGCGGCGUGCCUAAUACAUGCAAGUCGAGCGAACAGAUAAGGAGCUUGCUCCUUUGACGUUAGCGGCGGACGGGUGAGUAACACGUGGGUAACCUACCUAUAAGACUGGGAUAACUUCGGGAAACCGGAGCUAAUACCGGAUAACAUUUGGAACCGCAUGGUUCUAAAGUGAAAGAUGGUUUUGCUAUCACUUAUAGAUGGACCCGCGCCGUAUUAGCUAGUUGGUAAGGUAACGGCUUACCAAGGGAACGAUACGUAGCCGACCUGAGAGGGUGGUCGGCCACACUGGAACUGGGACACGGUCCAGACUCCUACGGGAGGCAGCAGUAGGGAAUCUUCCGCAGUGGGCGAAAGCCUGACGGAGCAACGCGGCGUGAGUGAUGAAGGGUUUCGGCUCGUAAAACUCUGUUAUUAGGGAAGAACAAAUGUGUAAGUAACUGUGCACGUCUGGACGGUACCUAAUCAGAAAGCCACGGCGAACUACGU
rnacentral:rRNA from 1 species